rnacentral:rRNA from 1 species
UACGUAGGGGGCGAGCGUUGUCCGGAAUUACUGGGCGUAAAGGGCGUGUAGGCGGUCUGUUGCGUCGGGGGUGAAAUCUCCGGGCUCAACCCGGAGGGGUCCUUCGAAACGGGCAGGCUGGAGGGCAGGAGAGGCGAGCGGAAUUCCCGGUGUAGCGGUGAAAUGCGUAGAUAUCGGGAAGAACACCAGUGGCGAAGGCGGCUCGCUGGACUGUACCUGACGCUGAGGCGCGAAAGCUAGGGGAGCGAACGGG